rnacentral:rRNA from 1 species
UACAUGCAAGUCGAGCGGAAUGAUGAGAGCUUGCUCUCUGAUUUUACGGCGGACGGGUGAGUAACACGUGGGCAACCUGCCCUACAGAUGGGGAUAACUCCGGGAAACCGGGGCUAAUACCGAAUAAUCAGUUUGUCCGCAUGGACAAACUCUGAAAGACGGUUUCGGCUGUCACUGUAGGAUGGGCCCGCGGCGCAUUAGCUAGUUGGUGGGGUAAUGGCCUACCAAGGCAACGAUGCGUAGCCGACCUGAGAGGGUGAUCGGCCACACUGGGACUGAGACACGGCCCAGACUCCUACGGGAGGCAGCAGUAGGGAAUCUUCCACAAUGGACGAAAGUCUGAUGGAGCAAUGCCGCGUGAGCGAAGAAGGUUUUCGGAUCGUAAAGCUCUGUUGUAAGGGAAGAACACGUACGGGAGUAACUGCCCGUGCCAUGACGGUACCUUAUUAGAAAGCCACGGCUAACUACGUGCCAG